rnacentral:lncRNA from 8 species
GCAUAAUAUAGUCGGGUUACCAAAGUAAUUAGAGUAGUAAAAAUUCAUGUUUUGUCAUACACGUGGUAUACGGUCUGACAUACCACGGCUGUCAGCCAAACAGCAUUCAGGGCUCGUAUCACCCAGUUUAUAAUAUACAGUAAUGUAACGUACAAGUAAAGAGUAAAGAGUGAUAUGAGUGACUCCAGAUUUUAAAACAAUUCUACAAUUUCCAUUUCUUUUGCGAAUAAAUUAACAUCCAAACACAAUAAUAUUACUUAUAUUUCAAAUUUCUUAGAUGUACCAAUGUACUGACACAUUGAUUUAUUGUGGAUAUCACACCAACGGUUGGGAUUACCAUGAAUCCUCCCACUAACUAGACCAGUGAGAUGAGGAGUCCCAGCAGAAGAGGGAGAGAGCUCAGACUCAUCCCCAUGGCUUUGUUACAGAGACUCCCUUUACAACAGUUGAAGUUAGGCAUAGAGGGGGAUGUCUCGGGCCAGUGGCAUACAUCAGCGGAGGCACAGCCCAGGUGUCGUCCAUCAUUACUUCCAUCACCAGCGGGCACUGGCAACAUGAAAAACAAAAAAAGUCAUUAAGGCAGAUGUUAAAUACUUUCCGAGGGAUUUCAUGCCACUGAAAAUGAACUACCUGUAUAUUUGAAGCAGUGGUCUUCAACUCCAACACAUUGUACAAUUGUGUUGCAGACUUUAUCCUCUUUACUCUUGCAGGUGUAACAUUGUAGUUUAUUGGGCUUGUCACUGAGCACUGUACCACAGGUGAAAAACAACAACGUCAGUAUCCUGUAAAGCCAGUCCUUAAUUAAACCUACAUAUUUUAAACGAAAUAUCAAGACCUUGAUUGAUCAAUUAUUUGAUUACAAUCGGUUGGAGCGUUUGGCUGUGCUUGUGUUGUCUCAGUUGUGUUGCCUCUGUGUUAAGCAAAAAAACAUUCCCUUAACACAUGCUUCAGAUGUCACUGUUCUGUCCUUUUGUCACGCCCUGACCAUAGAGAGCCCUUGGUUCUCUAUGGUGUAGUAGGUCGGGGCGUGACUGGGGGGGGGGGGGGGGGGCGGGGGGGGUGUUCUAGUUCAUUAUUUCUAUGUUGGUGUUUUGUAUGGUUCCCAAUUAGAGGCAGCUGGUAAUCAUUGCCACUAAUUGCGGAUCAUAUUUAGGUAGCCAUUUCUCCCACUUGUGUUUGUGGGAUAUUGUUUGGUUGUGUGCUUGUUGCGCCGCGUAGUCACAUUUUGUUGCUUGUUAUUUGUUGAAGAAGUUUCACUUUAAUAUGUGGAACUCAAACACACGCUGCGCCUUGGUCCGUUUCUUACAACAACCGUGGCACCUUUAUUAAGAUAAGAUCACUUUAUUGGGCAAAUCAAGUGGUCCAACCUACUUCCACUUAUAAACGAACCCCUCCGAAAGACAUACUGUAAAUACAUGUUUUGGAGCGGUGCGGGGGGCUGCCACAGUGGUGGAGCUAGGAUUUGAUACCAGCAACCCUCCGGUUGCCAGCCCACUUCCCGCCAACACUCCUAGGUUACCUGCCGUCCUAUAUCAGUAGUAGUCUCCACUUAUCAGGCACUGACAAUACAUAGGGGAAACAUUUUCCUAAUUCAAAACAGCCAUAAACCACAUUGUAAUCUUGUUUAAAACUUUUCUUCAGCAAUGUGUGUUAUAAGGAGGUGAGUUUAGUGAACUAAGCGAUUCAUAAAGAGUUGCCUCUUAUAACGCACAUUGUUGAAGAAAAGUAUAAAAUUAAAGAAGCUGCCAGAUUAUUAUGAGGUUUAUGGUAAGUUUUUCACUAUGCACAAUGUUAAACUAACAUGUUGCCCAUACUGUUUCUAUGAAAUACUGACACGUCAAUGCGAUUGAGAGCUUGUGAAUUUAAGAAAUUAGAAACUUUAUGAUGCAUGAUCUUACCAGGGAGAGUAUUCUCGUUACAGCCGUCCGUGCUGCAGCAGUACCCGGUAUUGGAGGUGUGUGAAUAUCCACCACUGAUUGAUAUUUUUGUUGUUGCAUCCAUGAACACACAGGUUUCCUCUCUCGUUGUGCAUUCCUUAGAGACUCUGGUGACUGAUGGAGAGUAAAAAUGACUUGAGUGACUUUAAAGUGAAAGGGCUCUGAGUUUCUGACCAGGACCAUAUUUACAGUGUAAUCAGCCUGGAAUUUAUUGCAACCAUUCAUUACAAGGACAGACUCAACACCAAACCAGACUUACCUAAAUUACCAAAUACUGUUGUCAUAGUGGAACACACUUCUCCUCCAGAACACAUCUCUAAAGUUGUUUUACUGCACUCAUCAGACUCACAAGUGUAGCACUGUAGUGUGUCUGCUAAUAAAGUUUACACCAGAUAACAGGAAUAAAGUUAAAAAACAUUAAAUAUUGAUCAAACACACUAACUAAUAAUUUACAGAGACUUGUAUACCAACUACUAUUGUAUGUGGAAAUAAGGUGAACAUAUUGACAUUUUGGUGCCAAUAACAAAUUGAAAACACAAUUUAAAAGGUUACCUGUGUAGAACAGUGUGAAGGUGAAGGAGAUUUUCAGGAUUAGCUUCAUCUUGGAUAGCUAUGAAGUAAAAAUAACUGGAUGGAAGUGGUUCUGUUCAAGAACUCAAAUGUGAGUAGAAGUGAGUGACAAACACGCAGAGUACUGUAUGAAAUCCAAACAAAAAAGUACUCACUUUCUACCGUCUAUCUUAGUCCUUAGACCCUACAUCCAUGUUAAUAAAAUAUUUUUCACCUUAUUUGGACAAAAGGCUAUUGAUCAGUCGAACUACUACAAAUCAUUAUAAUACUAUAGGCUUACCCUUGUGAAACUAUUCUCACUGAUGUAAACGCCAGGCCCCUUGAGAUGAAUUUCCACUUAUUGUUAAACAAGCAAUAGAAAGGAAAUGUGAUUUCCUUGGGCAUGAAAUCUUGUAGCUAGAUCUCUGCACCCUCCUCCUAACAGUUUCUAAACAACACUCAAAGGUCAUACACAGUAAAGGUUACAAAGUCAAAAUACAUGUAUCAGAAAAUAAAGAACAUGCAGUACAUUUCCUACAUCUUCCUAUGCAAGGCACUCCCAUUCCUGAGUUAAGCAAAACACAUGUAGGCCUAUCAAAUAAAUAAGCCAGUGUAGAACUAUUUGAUGAAAUUCUACAAUCUUUUCAAUUAAUCUCAUAUCAGAUAGUUGGCAAGUAUUAUGACUUUGUCACAGCUGUUCAAAGGAGCGGACCAAAUGCAGCGUAUUCGUAGUUCCACAUAUUGAUUAAAUGUGAAACUGAAUGCAAUACAUAAAUAACUUGAAAACACAAAAACAAACCGUGACGCAGAGAGGAAAACACACUACUCAAAAGAUAACCCACAAACAAUGAGAAAAACCCCUACUUAAAUAUGAUCUCUAAUCAGAGGCAAUGAGGAUCAGCUGCCUCCUAUUAGAGAUCACCCCAAACAAUCCCAACAUAGAAAUAGACCAACUAGAACUUAAACAUAGAAAUAGAAAACAUAGAACAACCCAAAACACCCCCUGUCACGCCCUG